AGGAACGGAUGCAUCUAAUGUCACAUUAAAUUGGAUGGAAUCUAUAGGGAUCAGAUACUAUACCUCUUCCCAGUUUCCCAAAUGGAUGUGAUCAGUGCUUGAUGGUAAUUCAACAUACCCGACAGCCCUAUUUGUGUAAUAACUUCCAGCAGGUUAAACGAUGUCAUGUCUCCACAUGCGCUUCAGGGAGUUGAUCAAAUGAUUAUUUUGUUAAAGGGACCCUCGGCUACCCGACACAGGGAUGAUGAAUCGUAUCAACGGCCUGAUCCAUCGUCCUCUCCUGUAAUUUGUCCACAUCUUUUUGUCCCCGGCCGACAAUAAUGUGGAUUAAUAUUUAAUAUGCGGGGGGGUAAUGCCCCCCCCUCUUUCCUCUUUCCUGCUGCUGACUUGGCAGGAUGUCCUCAGCCACUCAGUUACCACUAAACAGCUAUUGAGGCCCACUUCUUUCACAGGAUGCUUACAAACAUUAUGUUAUGGGAACGUGUGACAGGAUGCUGACAGCAGAAACAGCUGCUCGACCCUGUAACUUAAACGUUGGCUUCAUCACAAAUAUUCAGCAAAGGCGGUUCAGUGCAUCCACUCCUUUCCAACUGAAUCAAAAAUCCUCCUCAAAUGAGAAUAAAAGGUUUGGUUUUUUUUGCCCAGUUGCAAAUGUUUUUUUCCAUUUCAUCUUAAAAUGCUUGUAAAUACACUUGAAACCCUCAAAAGUCUGUGAUAUUUUUACCUCACAGCGUCUCCAUAGCGAUGGAGUCACAAAGUGGGAGAAGUCAUUUCAGGCAUCAAGGACUAAAAGUCCCUUCUAAUUUUCUGGAUGGACGAUGUUGGGUCAGCUGGACAAUAACCUCUCCUUGUUGAAUGGUUAGUGGCAAAGACGAGCAGCUGCUUUACGUGCAGCGCACACACGCCUCAUGGCGUCAUGCAUCAUGGGAAACUCCCGCCAUGAUAAUUACACAAACACAGACGCAUCUCCAAAAGUCGAUGCUGGCAGCGGUACGAAGGCGUCGACCGGCCUUCUCGGCCUAACGCGCGCCACCGGUAGAUCACGCUUCCACCCUCUUGACUGUCCUCGUCACCAUGGUUACGUUGGCCGAGGCCCGUAGCUAACCUUUGUAUCCGAGCAGGCUCAGAUUUAAGUUUGAAAGACUUUUAUUCUUUUUAAAAUACUCUUCUCUUUGAGAUGCGAAGCCGAAUUCGACCUCAGACAAGGGGUCACCGCCUGGUAUCCGGCAAUAAUAAAAAGAGAAUCUUCUGUGUAGAACUGCAGAUCAGCCAGGCUCCUAUUUUCUCACAUUGCCCUUCUCCGGAAUCAUCCGCAGUGCCGUCAAAACCAAUAUUAGCUGGAAUCAUCAGCGUGGGCUUUGGAGAGUGGAGAUAUUGAAGACGCAGGGGCGAGGAGAAUAACACGCCUUUUUAAUGAAUUGUCGGAUUGUUUUUCUGCUGGAGCGGCUGCGUUGAAGCUUAGCGGCCUUUCUGAUUUUGGACCAACUGGCAUUUUCUAUCCCUGUGUCUGGUUUGGGGAUUGCUGGUAUUUGGUUUGUGAGGAGGUUUGUGUCGGGGCACCAGCAGUGAGCGUGCAUACACAUGUCCAUUUCCUUCCAGACACGCACACACACACACACACACACGCAGCACAGGCUGCAUUCAGGCAAACAGACUCAAGUCAAAACGGUCUACUGGGACACUGCUGCAGCAUUGGGGCUAUAUACAUUUUUUUCAGGAUUUGUCCCACUUACAAAUCAAGCUCCUGUUAAGGAGUACUGAAGACAUCCUAAGGGGGGACACAAGUACCUGAACCAAAUAGUGUGACCAUCCAGCCGUUAGUUGCGGAGAAAUUUGGCUCAAAGCGCCCGUGUGGCGGAGCGCGGGGACCAGCCGCUGAUCCUCCGGCCGUCGCGGGCCGCAAACUUUAAUGAGCAAAUUGAUUUAAUGUGUCCUCCUGUGUGAGGAGGGAGCGGCAGUAAGUACAGCACCGAUUGAUUCAUCGUGGGGCCUGAAAAUGAAAGCGCUAUUUAACACCGGCUGAUGCGGCCACGUACCGCCGUUUAGAUGUAAAAAUAAAUCCUACUGCCUGCAGAACGGCACCUUGCGGUUUAUCAUUGUUAACAAGCGUAUGAGGGGAGAAUUCAUACCAUAAGGAAAUGUUAUACCGGUAUACCGCACAUCCCUAUCAUUAAGGUUGCCUCUUUACGUUUUUAGGAUCCUUUUAAAAGGAAUUUAAAACUUUAAAGACCACUGACCUUUUUAGUUGAGUAAAAUGAGGUAAUUACAUCCCUCGCCCCUUGACAGUAAAGGUUUCCACUUACAGGAAUUAUGCACAAUUGCAGUUCCAUGUAUCUUUUCCUUGAACAAUAUUCCAAUAUUUCACAUUCAGGGACAGAGAAGACAUUAUUGCCAAUGCAAAUCAGAUGCAUUUACAUGAGUAGUCUGAGAACAUCCCGCGAUACUAAAUCUCUUGUCUGUGGUUGUAAUGUAAUCUGCAGCGGGCGCAGUGACACCUAACCACUCCCCCUCACCGUCUCUUUCCUGUUUGACCUUUCUCUCUCCCUGCUGGAGUUGAUUUACACGUGGACAUUCGUCAGCCGCAGCGAGGCUUUCCGGUCCUCCUCUAAUCGCCUGCUGGACCUGCUCCAGAACAACGGGCCUUUUUUUUAAAUAUAAAGCGCUGCAUUCCUGGAGAAACUAGAGAAAGAGAGAAAUUGCUAGAUGUGAGAAAGGUGAAUUUACAAUAUGUGUAAUUCCCCCUUUUGGCAGGAUGACGUUUAAUUGGUGUGAUUGAAGGCAGAUGGAGCGGCAAAGGUUGGGAAGAUGCCAAGAACCGGAGCUUCAGAGCGUGUGAAGAGGUGCAGGUAGAGAGACAGCAGCAGCAUGCAGCUUACUGGAUAUGUGGGAAUAUAUAUAUAUAUACACACGUAUUCAUCCAACAGACUCAUAGAGUGGAAAUAAUCCUGCCUGCGGUCAUAUAUAUAUCAAGGGA
ensembl:lncRNA